CUUUCAAGGCAAGCACUCUACCACUGAGCCACAUCCCCAAACUCCUUUGUGCUUUAUUCUGUUUUUCAGAUAGAGUCUCUUGCUUUUGCUAGGGUUAGACUCAGACCAUGGUAGGUGGCCUCUGACUUAUAGGCAUAGUAGGUAGGAAGCUGGGAUUAUAGAUGUGUGCUCAAUAAUAUUGCACAUCUUCUUAGUUCCAGCAGUUAUACUAGAAGCUAGGGUAGUGGGUGAGCCAAGACUCCCCCUGCUCUAAGAGAGCUCUGUAGUCCAUAUAUUAUUCAACAAGUCAUACGGAUGCAGUGUGUGAUGAAAACUGAUAAGCACUGAGGAGGAGAAAGAACAGGACAUAUAAUGAGGGGACCUGGGAAGGAAUUGGGACAGACUUGGGACAGUAAGUAACCCUUGAGGAAGGGUUGGGGGAAAGAUACCUGACCUGAGAUGAACAGGAUAUAUGGGAAUUUAGCAGGCAUAGAGAGAGCAGUUCCAGCAAAGGGACAGCGUGCCAAGAGCAUGGGUGGCUCAAAAAUCAGUGGGCCCUAGUGGGCCUGGGAACUCUCCUAAAAUGUACAUUUUGGGGAUUUACCCACUAGAGAAUUAGAUACAGUGGGUCAAGUUCUAGAAACCUGCACCUCCCAGGGGGUGCGGGUAGUCUUGGGAAAUAUUGCAGCAGACAUUGCUAUGAAACCCACCUUGCACUUUGCAAUUCCAAAGGAAGCUUUGCUGGGUUUGGCAUAACAUAACUCCAGCUGUUCAGGGAGACCUGACCCCACCCUGUGUCCAGGGUUGCCUGAGUGAACAGCCUAUGUGGUCCUUCCCUCCCUCCCCCUUUCCUCUCUUCUUCCUUCUCACCUGCCUACCCACCCUACUUUGUGUUCUCACAUACUUCCAAGGGCCAAAACCUGAUACAAAUUCUAGCUCUGGGAGCUAGGUG